AACAAGUGCAACAAUACCAAACUUACGGGUAAAACAACUGGAUGCAAGAACAAUGGCAGCAGACUUUAUUUGUGUUAACUACAACAGUUUUCUUCAUCAGACGGGCUUAUCCAUUCUUCCUGAAGUUUUCUGGCACUUAUAUCGACCUGGAAGGAACAUGGAAAACCCUCGUCAGUAAAUCAUAUCCCUAAUAUCCAGAAUUAUGCCUGCUGUGAUACUGCUGAAACAGUCACCACUGUAAAUGUAAUGUUGAUACGCUAAAGCAUGUUUUAAAAACACGUAAGACUUCCAUAUUUAUCAGUGAAAUAAAAUAAAUACAAUCUCA